GGGGGGGCAAGCGUUGUUCGGAAUUACUGGGCGUAAAGGGUUCGUAGGUGGCCAACUAAGUCAGACGUGAAAUCCCUCAGCUUAACUGGGGAACUGCGUCUGAUACUGGAUGGCUCGAGUGCAGGAGAGGAAUGCGGAAUUCCAGGUGUAGCGGUGAAAUGCGUAGAUAUCUGGAGGAACACCGGUGGCGAAGGCGGCAUUCUGGACUGCAACUGACACUGAUGAACGAAAGCCAGGGGAGCAAACGGGAUUAGAUACCCCGGUAGUCCUGGCCCUAAACGAUGAAUGCUUGGUGUAACGGGUAUCGAUCCCUGUUGUGCCGAAGCUAACGCAUUAAGCAUUCCGCCUGGGGAGUACGGUCGCAAGGCUG
rnacentral:rRNA from 1 species